GCGAAGAUGGCGGAAUUGGCAGACGCGCUGGAUUCAGGUUCCAGUGGGUAACACCGUGGGGGUUCAAGUCCCCCUCUUCGCA
rnacentral:tRNA from 1 species